rnacentral:rRNA from 1 species
AACAACCCCGGGAAACUGGGGAUAAUUCUCGAUAGGUGAAGAACUCUGGAAUGAGUCUUUGCUUAAAAGACGUUUGCGUUAUGCUCGUAAGCGUCGCCCAAGGAUGAGGCCGCGACCGAUCAGGGUUGUUGGUGAGGUAAUGGCUCACCAAGCCUUUUACCGGUGCGGGCCGUGAGAGCGGGAGCCCGGAGAUGGGCACUGAGACAAGGGCCCAGGCCCUACGGGGCGCAGCAGUCGCGAAAACUUUGCAAUACACGAAAGUGUGACAGGGCUAUCCCGAGUGCCAUCCGCUGAGGAAGGCUUUUACCCAGUCUAGAACGCUGGGGGAAUAAGGAGAGGGCAAGUCUGGUGUCAGCCGCCGCGGUAAUACCAGCUCUCCGAGUGGUGUGGAUGUUUAUUGGGCCUAAAGCAUCCGUAGCUGGCUGAGUUAGUCCCUUGUUAAAUCCACCGAAUUAAUCGUUGGAUUGCGGGGGAUACUGCUCGGCUAGGGGACGAGAGAGGCAGACGGUAUUUCCGGGGUAGGGGUGAAAUCCUAUAAUCCCGGGAAGACCACCAGUGGCGAAGGCUGUCUGCUAGAACGCGCCCGACGGUGAGGGAUGAAAGCUGGGGGAGCGAACCGGAUUAGAUACCCGGGUAGUCCCAGCUGUAAACGAUGCAGGCUAGGUGUUUGG